GCCAGUGUGGUGUAGUGGUGUGAAUGUUGGCCUACAACUCUGGAGACCAAGGUUCAAUGCCUUGCUUGGACA